GAUGAACGCUGGCGGCGUGCCUAAUACAUGCAAGUCGAGCGAACGGACGAGAAGCUUGCUUCUCUGAUGUUAGCGGCGGACGGGUGAGUAACACGUGGAUAACCUACCUAUAAGGCUGGGAUAACUUCGGGAAACCGGAGCUAAUACCGGAUAAUAUUUUGAACCGCAUGGUUCAAUAGUGAAAGACGGUCUUGCUGUCACUUAUAGAUGGAUCCGCGCUGCAUUAGCUAGUUGGUAAGGUAACGGCUUACCAAGGCAACGAUGCGUAGCCGACCUGAGAGGGUGAUCGGCCACACUGGAACUGAGACACGGUCCAGACUCCUACGGGAGGCAGCAGUAGGGAAUCUUCCGCAAUGGGCGAAAGCCUGACGGAGCAACGCCGCGUGAGUGAUGAAGGUCUUCGGAUCGUAAAACUCUGUUAUUAGGGAAGAACAUAUGUGUAAGUAACUGUGCACAUCUUGACGGUACCUAAUCAGAAAGCCACGGCUAACUACGUG
rnacentral:rRNA from 1 species